UGAACAAAGUGUCAUUGCAUCUUAUAAUG
rnacentral:sRNA from 1 species